CGGAGAACGUUAGCCUGCAAUGCAUGAAGAAGGAUUGGUCGGCAAAAGCAGGUCGAACAGGUAAACGCAUUGAGCAGAUGGGGAUUAAUCAAAGAAAACAUCGAAAUGACAAAGAAAGAGAAAAAAAUCUGACAAGAAACAAAUCGAUAGACAUCAUGGGUUCGUGAAUCCACUGACUAAACGAACUAAUGUACGGAACCUACAGAUCAAGUUCACAAAGAAACCACCGUUGGUUUCCAUUCUACAGAAAAGAUCAACUAAUGGAGCUAGCUAAAAUAUCUAUUCUUCAAAGGAAUAUAAACAGAUGGGUGCAUUGCAAAUGGAGAUUAACCUAUCAGUCCAUUUCAAGAGCAGAACAUCGCCAGCUUUUAGUGCAUUGCAAAUGGAUACAAAUCAGUGGUGGUGCUACUACUACUACCAACAAGUGAAUAAUCACUGCUACUGAUGGGUAUACUAGAGGGGAGGAGGAGGAGGACGAGGACAGCUCAGGGGAGUGCUUGCAUACCAGAGGGGGAGGACGACGCGGGAGCCAAGGCUCCGCCGGAGAGUAGGCGGCGCGGCAACCUAGCGCUCUCGCCGCCGGUAAAGCCCCUCCGUUGCGCAGCCGCCGAAUGUGACACGGAGAAAAGCUAGAAGCGGCGGCGACCUAUGUGCACGAAGGCUCUCAGCCCAUUCUCCCGGCCCAGUUCUCUAAGGCAGGCCCAGGCCGAGAUUAUUCGAAUUGAACUGGUAAAAAAGUCUAUCUUUCCUCCCUCGAGGACUUGGGAGGCGACGGCGCUCCGCCGCCGCAGCGUCGGAACGAAUCCCCGGCGGCGGCGGCGGCGGCCAACAAGGGGAAGAAGAAGAAGAAGAAGGGCGGCGCUGCCGGCGGCAGAGGCGGUGGGAGGUGGCCACCGAUUUUAGCCGAAGAAAGAUCUCCAUAUCAAUCGUCUCAAGGGCACUAACCUCCUCACAAUAACGGAGGAAGAACAAUGAAGCUGCAACGGGGAGUGGUCCACCUAAAGAAAGUAGCAGACAAUGGGGAGUGAUCGUUCUAAAGAAAGUGGCAGCCAACCAUCAAGUACAUCAGGAAAGAUGGCCAGUAGUAUCUUUGACAAAUUGCAAGUGGAGUUCAUCGACCAAGAUGAGGGUGUGCAGGUUGUUGCAGACACCAUUGGAAGCUCUGGCGAGGUUCCUGAAAGGUAUGUGAGGCAUGAGAUUGAGGCCAAUAUUGUCAUAAUUGACAACGCCAAUGGUUAUAGUCUACCAGUAAUAGACAUGUCAAGAUUGAUCAAUCCUGACUUCUCGGACUUCCUUCUGGCAUGAUUGUUGGAGGAGAUCGCGAAGCUUGGAUCUGCAUGUGAGGAUUGGGGAUACUUCCAUCUUGUGAACCAUGGGGUGGAUGCAGGGUUGCUGCAACAGAUCAAGGCUGACAUCACGGAAUUCUUCAGACUCCCUCUGCAGGAGAAGGCCGUGGCGAUCCCACCCAAUGGCUUGCAGGGGUUUGGCCACCACUUUUUCUUUCCAAAGGAGCAGAAGCUGGACUGGGCAGAUUUGCUGUUCCUCGUCACACGGCCAGUUGAGGAAAGGAGCAAUGGAUUUCUGGCCUACAAAGCCUUCCACAUUCAGGGACUCACUUGACAAGUACUCGUUAGAGAUUGCAUGUGUCUACUAAGCUGUUCAAGUUCAUGGCCAUCAACCUGGGAGUCGAUGAGGAAGCACUCCUUGGAGUAUUCAAGGGGCAUACUCAGAGUGUAAGGAUCAACCAUUACCCCCACUGCCGUCAGGCUGACAAGGUGCUGGGCUUUUCAGCGCACACCGAUGGCGUCGGCUUGACACUGCUCCUCCAAGUGAACGACGUGCAAGGGCUGCAGAUCAGGAAGAACGGCAGGUGGUUCGCUGUGAAGAAUCUCCCUGGAGCCCUCGUCGUCAAUGUUGGUGACAUUCUUGAGAUCCUCACAAAUGGCAAGUACAAGAGUAUUGAGCACAGAGCGGUAAUAAACCCCGAUAAGGAAAUGAUCACCCUUGCUGCAUUCCAUAAACCCCCGCUUUCCUGCACAGUUGGAGUUGGCCCACUCCAGGAGCUUCUAAUGAAAGGUAAGGCGCACUACAAGACGGUUGAUGUCGUUGAGUUCACCAAAGGCUACUUUACUGCGAAGCUGGAAGGCAGGAGCUACCUGGAGAGAUUGAAGCUGGGAGUGUGAUGAUGUCAGGAUGGGAUUUUUCUGCCUCUCUUGAUCCUUUUGUUUUCGUGAAAGGCUAAUGACACUGUAUCUUCCUCAUCCUGGUACAGUUCAGCUGGUAUUUGCCUUGACCAUACACUCAAGUGUACCUUUCACUAUUUAUAUAUGAUAUUUGCUAUUAUUUGUGUACUCUA